rnacentral:rRNA from 1 species
GCAGUCGAGCGAACUGAUUAGAAGCUUGCUUCUAUGACGUUAGCGGCGGACGGGUGAGUAACACGUGGGCAACCUGCCUGUAAGACUGGGAUAACUUCGGGAAACCGAAGCUAAUACCGGAUAGGAUCUUCUCCUUCAUGGGAGAUGAUUGAAAGAUGGUUUCGGCUAUCACUUACAGAUGGGCCCGCGGUGCAUUAGCUAGUUGGUGAGGUAACGGCUCACCAAGGCAACGAUGCAUAGCCGACCUGAGAGGGUGAUCGGCCACACUGGGACUGAGACACGGCCCAGACUCCUACGGGAGGCAGCAGUAGGGAAUCUUCCGCAAUGGACGAAAGUCUGACGGAGCAACGCCGCGUGAGUGAUGAAGGCUUUCGGGUCGUAAAACUCUGUUGUUAGGGAAGAACAAGUACAAGAGUAACUGCUUGUACCUUGACGGUACCUAACCAGAAAGCCACGGCUAACUACGUGCCAGCAGCCGCGGUAAUACGUAGGUGGCAAGCGUUAUCCGGAAUUAUUGGGCGUAAAGCGCGCGCAGGCGGUUUCUUAAGUCUGAUGUGAAAGCCCACGGCUCAACCGUGGAGGGUCAUUGGAAACUGGGGAACUUGAGUGCAGAAGAGAAAAGCGGAAUUCCACGUGUAGCGGUGAAAUGCGUAUAGAUGUGGAGGAACACCAGUGGCGAAGGCGGCUUUUUGUU